GGGCGAAGCCUGAUCCAGCCAUGCCGCGUGUGUGAAGAAGGUCUUCGGAUUGUAAAGCACUUUAAGUUGGGAGGAAGGGUUGUAGAUUAAUACUCUGCAAUUUUGACGUUACCGACAGAAUAAGCACCGGCUAACUUCGUGCCAGCAGCCGCGGUAAUACGAAGGGUGCAAGCGUUAAUCGGAAUUACUGGGCGUAAAGCGCGCGUAGGUGGUUUGUUAAGUUGGAAGUGAAAGCCCCGGGCUCAACCUGGGAACUGCUUUCAAAACUGGCAAGCUAGAGUAUGGCAGAGGGUGGUGGAAUUUCCUGUGUAGCGGUGAAAUGCGUAGAUAUAGGAAGGAACACCAGUGGCGAAGGCGACCACCUGGGCUAAUACUGACACUGAGGUGCGAAAGCGUGGGGAGCAAACAGGAUUAGAUACCCUGGUAGUCCACGCCGUAAACGAUGUCAACUAGCCGUUGGGAUCCUUGAGAUCUUAGUGGCGCAGCUAACGCAUUAAGUUGACCGCCUGGGGAGUACGGCCGCAAGGUUAAAACUCAAAUGAAUUG
rnacentral:rRNA from 2 species